rnacentral:rRNA from 1 species
GUGAGUCAUCGAAUCUUUGAACGCACCUUGCGCUCCUUGGUAUUCCUCGGAGCAUGCCUGUUUGAGUAUCAUGAAAUUCUCAAAGCAAGUCUUUUUGUUAAUUCAAUCGGCUUUGUUUUGGACUUGGGGGUUUGCAGAUUCACGUCUGCUCCUCUUAAAUGCAUUAGCUGGAUCUCCAUGAACUUGGUUCCACUCGGCGUGAUAAGUAUCAUUCGCUGAGGACACCUGUAAAAAGGUGGCCAGGGUUGAGGAUGAGCCGCUUCUAACGGUCCAUUUAAUUUGGACAAUUAAACUUAUGAUCUGAUCUCAAAUCAGGUAGGACUACCCGCUGAACUUAA